rnacentral:rRNA from 1 species
UACGUAGGGUGCAAGCGUUGUCCGGAAUUAUUGGGCGUAAAGAGCUCGUAGGCGGUCUGUCGCGUCGGCUGUGAAAACCCGGAGCUCAACUCCGGGCCUGCAGUCGAUACGGGCAAACUGGAGUGUUGCAGGGGAGACUGGAAUUCCUGGUGUAGCGGUGAAAUGCGCAGAUAUCAGGAGGAACACCGGUGGCGAAGGCGGGUCUCUGGGCAACAACUGACGCUGAGGAGCGAAAGCGUGGGGGGCGAACAGG